CACGUAGUUAGCCGUGGCUUUCUCACAGAGUACCGUCACUUUCUUCUUCCUCUGCGACAGAAGUUUACAACCCGAAGGCCGUCAUCCUUCACGCGGCGUUGCUGCGUCAGGGUUUCCCCCAUUGCGCAAUAUUCCCCACUGCUGCCUCCCGUAGGAGUCUGGGCCGUGUCUCAGCCCCAAUGUGGCCGAUCAACCUCUCAGUUCGGCUACUGAUCGUCGACUAGGUGGGCCGUUACCCCGCUACUAUCUAAUCAGACGCGAGUCCAUCUGUAAGCGAUAAAUCUUUCAAAGCUUCCCCAUGACGGAAAAACUUCAAUAUGCGGUAUUAGCACAGAUUUCUCUGUGUUAUCCCCCUCUUACAGGCAGGUUACUCACGCGUUACUCCACCCGUCCGCCGCUCUCCACAAAAGCUUCACCCCGAAGGGAUCAGUCUCUUCGUUCCCGCUCGACUUGCAUGUGUUAGCACGCCGCCAGCGUCUCCGUGACGCACGGACUCUAACUACCU
rnacentral:rRNA from 1 species